GUUACUUACUGCGCGUACCUCGAGGCGACCCGGCGUCCGUCCGAAAGAUUCGUAAAAUUCGAUGAAGCAUGGCCAAUCCAAAUCUAACGGAUAUGACGGAGGAGGAUGCGGCGGACUUGCAGUUUCCCAAAGACUGCCCGUCGAGUAGAACAGAGAAUAUUGGCCAUGACAUAGAACUCGUCGAGGUGUCAGUCGUGAAGGACGAAAUCCUUACUUCAGAUCCAAUGUGUUACGCGUGCAAAACCAACCUGAGGGAACCUUACGUGAGGUGCGCCGUGUGCCUCGACGUCGAACUCUGUCCUUCUUGUUUUUCUAACGGAUGCGAGACAGGCGAUCACAGAAACGAUCACGAUUACGUUAUAGCGAAGAACGAGUUCGAACUGGUAGACGGUAGCGGUUGGACGGCCAAGCAAGAAUUGGAGUUAUUAAACGUCGUGCAAGAGUGCGGCUUUGGUAAUUGGGUGGACGUGUCUAAGAGAAUAGACGGCAAGUCUACGGAGGAAUGCAAGGCGCACUACUUGGAGCACUACGUGGACAAUCAGACCCUCCCUGGAUUGCCAAAGAUCAACGAAACUAGAGCCAGUCUGUUCGGUUGCGAGCCAGUCCCGUAUUCCUACAAGUUGCACGACUUGGAGGAACCACCUAGAUUCGCUUCGGACACGCUCAACUGUAGAAUGUUAGCUGGAUACAAUGCCGCGAGAUCCGACUUCGAGGUGAACUUCGACAAUCACGCGGAGCUACUCGUGUCCGACUUAAAUUACGACCAAUUCGAUCCGGACGAUUCGGACGAGGAGUUGGGAAAGUCCUUGCAAGUGGCUAUCGUUCAAGCUUACAACAACAGACUGAAGGAACGUAAGAGACGAAGGAAGAUCAUACGAGAUCACGGACUGAUCGCGAUAAGGAGAACGAUGUCUUGGUUGCAGAGAUACGAAUCUACGAUAACGCGAGCCCUCGCGGAGAGGCUCUUGAUUUUCAUGCAACUCACGGGGGGUAUGGAUUUCGAUUACCUCAUGGAAGGUCUCCAUCGCGUUGGCGAACUUAAAAACUAUAUCAAUAAACUCGUCGACUUUCGCAUCAACGGGAUAAGAUGUUUCCAUAGCGUUUCGAUCUUUCAAAAACUAUCGAAGCUCCGCCAGGAGAACGAGAGGGAGAGAAAGCAAUAUCUGAAUAAUCCGGAGUACAGUUGGAGGAGCGUAUUGCCGGAUAACGUUGCGAAUUCCAACGCGUCGAUGGGACAUAACAUCCCGCAGAGAAGAGCGGCGCCACCUCUCGUGAUCAACGGUCUUCCAGGCUACGAAAGGCUUACCAGCGACGAAAAGCUAUUGUGCUCCGUGACCAGAGUGGUACCCGCCAGCUAUUUGGAUUACAAACACAUUUUAAUCGCGGAAAACAAAAAAUGUGGUUCUCUGCGUUUGGCACAGGCUCGCGUUCUCCUAAAAAUCGACGUCAAUAAAACCCGCAAGAUAUACGACUUCUUGGCGGACGAAGGAUACAUAAAAUUCGAGAACGCGGAAACGCUGUUAAUAUCCGAGGUGUACAUGCUGCUGGAACAUAGGAAAGCUCAGAACGAGUCCGCGGAAGAGGAACAAGAAUUUUCGGAGGUCUUUAUGAAGAGUUUGACGUAUACCAAUCGAUUUGGAAGAUUUAAAAAUAAAGAAACCAUCGCAGCGGUUCGAAGCUUGUUGAUGCAAAAGAAACUGCACAAGUUCGAACUCGCCUCCUUGGCGAACCUGUGCCCGGAAACUCCGGAAGAAGCCAAAGCCUUGAUUCCGAGCCUCGAAGGACGUCUGGAGGACGAGGAGCUACGAACGAUCCUGGAAGACAUACAAACCAAGAGAUCUUUGCAGUACUGAUCGCCUUCGUUUCCUUUCCCUUACGAUCGAUCGUACGACUGCAAAUAUCUGUCCUUUACGUAUUCCUAUCGAGAUACGCGCCGACUCUCAUUCCAUUUUUCAAUAAACCCGGGAGAAUGUCGCGUCCAGUUGCACAAUCGCAU